rnacentral:rRNA from 1 species
UACGAAGGGGGCUAGCGUUGUUCGGAAUUACUGGGCGUAAAGCGCACGUAGGCGGAUUUGUCAGUCAGGGGUGAAAUCCCGGGGCUCAACCUCGGAACUGCCUUUGAUACAGCAAGUCUUGAGUUCGAGAGAGGUGGGUGGAAUUCCUAGUGUAGAGGUGAAAUUCGUAGAUAUUAGGAAGAACACCGGUGGCGAAGGCGGCAUCCUGGACCAAUACUGACACUGAGGAGCGAAAGCGUGGGGAGCAAACAGG